GAAGAAUGUCCCAUACAGAUUAUUGAUUCUAAGAGAUUGCAUGGAUUGAAAUGAGCUACUUAGAAGGGCAUUGCUGCUCCCCUUGUUGCGUCGCUAAGAUGUUUCAGAGGGAAUAAACAGAGAUGAGCACAUUUGUCACUGUCUGGUAGUGUCAAGAGCAAGGUGCAGCAUUUCCUUUACCACGAUAAUCCAGUAACUAAUGUGACAGCAAUGAGUCAGUUAUGGGGUGAGUACAGAUUCAGACUUCCUGCUCAGGUGAGCAGUACAGGGUCAGGUGACAUUGAUGCCAGCUGAGAAUCUCGCCCAAGGCAUGCAUACAAACCAGCUCCCCACGGAGUCAGUCUUCGCAGUGCCCCCCACAAGAGAAGAAGUGGCCCAAAAGAGCAGG
rnacentral:lncRNA from 1 species